UGGGGAAUAUUGCACAAUGGGCGCAAGCCUGAUGCAGCCAUGCCGCGUGUAUGAAGAAGGCCUUCGGGUUGUAAAGUACUUUCAGCGAGGAGGAAGGCGUUGUGGUUAAUACCCGCAGCGAUUGACGUUACUCGCAGAAGAAGCACCGGCUAACUCCGUGCCAGCAGCCGCGGUAAUACGGAGGGUGCAAGCGUUAAUCGGAAUUACUGGGCGUAAAGCGCACGCAGGCGGUCUGUCAAGUCGGAUGUGAAAUCCCCGGGCUCAACCUGGGAACUGCAUCCGAAACUGGCAGGCUAGAGUCUUGUAGAGGGGGGUAGAAUUCCAGGUGUAGCGGUGAAAUGCGUAGAGAUCUGGAGGAAUACCGGUGGCGAAGGCGGCCCCCUGGACAAAGACUGACGCUCAGGUGCGAAAGCGUGGGGAGCAAACA
rnacentral:rRNA from 1 species